GCAGGCGUGGCGGAAUUGGCAGACGCGCUAGACUUAGGAUCUAGUGGGCGACCCCCGUGAGAGUUCGAGUCUCUCCGCCUGCACCA
rnacentral:tRNA from 1 species